CAGAAAAGAUAUAACCGUACCUGCCUUGCUCAUGAAAGCAAUCGCAGGUGAGGAAAGUCCGGGCUCCACCGGAAAAAACGCCGGGUAAUCACCGGGCAGAAAGGGGAACUUGCUUACAAGGAGCAUAAGCCUUUUUCUGACAGACAGUGCCACAGAAAACAAACCGCCUUCGGGUAAGGGUGAAAUGGUGCGGUAAGAGCGCACCGCGUUUUUGGCAACAGAAACGGCAGGGUAAACCUCGUUUGGAGCAAGGCCAAGCAGUAGCUAAUGUUUCCGGCUUAUGGCUACGGGUAGGCUGCUAAAGGCUUUUGGCAACAAAAGUUUCGGAUAGAUGGUUAUGCGCACUCUUCUUUUUGAAGAGUGCAGGACAGAACCCGGCUUAUUGUCUUUUCUGUUUU
rnacentral:RNase_P_RNA from 1 species